rnacentral:lncRNA from 1 species
UACAUCACUAUCUUGCAUGUAUGCAUUAAACAAAUUACUUAUCUGUGCCCCCAAUAUUAGACAAAUAUAUAUUUUAAAUCCACAACAGAAACAUUAUCAAAUAUGUUAUAACAAAUGCAUAAAUCCACUAGAGUUCACUAUUUUAUAAACUGUAACAUAAGAAGUACUGUAACCAUCAAAACUGAAAAUCAAAGUCAUACAUACUACAAUAACAGAAAACAAACAAGGGUCUAUAUAAAGGAGUACUGAAAAAUGAACCUAAUAUGAGAUCUCCUAUAAGGCUAACAACAUAACUUCUGAAUCCAAAUACAAACCUUCCUCCCUACAUAUCAUCUA